AUUGGAAUAUUCAUUACUUUUUCUCAGUUACUGUACAAAUUAAUAGGAAGAACUGUUAAGAGUCUGUGUAUGUCAAAGACUGACCACAGCCUAACUUGGACCACAGCAUAUCCUUGUUGUACCAAUAACAAGAGGAGCAGAUGCCAAGGAUGCUUUGAACCCUGCUUCUCACUGUUUUCAGACCGCACACCACCGUGGUCAUCAGCACAUUUUAAUUAUGAUUGAAAUUCUAACAGCAAGACAAAAUUCUUCAGAAGACUUCAGCUCCUGUGCAGCCAUCCAAAUAGCCAAAUUUACAAGGAACACCUGACAAAUAGAAGAGCCGACUUCUGGAAGAAUGAAUGUGUCACUGGAAUUGUCUAGUUUAGUUACCACUUCUCAUUUUAUUUGUAGAUUCUCUGGUGUAGAUAUAAUGUGCUCCUGGAAAUAAUCUUUAAACUGGUAACCAAACCUUGAGAAUCUGACCAUCACUGCACAAAAAUAAAUAAAUAAAUAAAUAAAUACA
rnacentral:lncRNA from 1 species